rnacentral:rRNA from 1 species
AUUGAACGCUGGCGGCAGGCCUAACACAUGCAAGUCGAGCGAGCGGCGGACGGGUGAGUAAUGUAUGGGGAACUGCCUGAUGGCGGGGGAUAACUACUGGAAACGGUAGCUAAUCCCCCAUACCAUCAGAGGACCCCAUAUGGGAUUAGCUAGUAGGUAGGGUAAUGGCUCACCUGGGCGCCGAUCCCUAGCUGGUCUGAGAGGAUGAUCAGCCACACUGGGACUGAGACACGGCCCAGACUCCUACGGGAGGCAGCAGUGGGGAAUAUUGCACAAUGGGCGCAAGCCUGAUGCAGCCAUGCCGCGUGUAUGAAGAAGGCCUUCGGGUUGUAAAGUACUUUCAGUGGGGAGGCGUUACCGACAGAAGAAGCACCGGCUAACUCCGUGCCAGCAGCCGCGGUAAUAC